AGAGUGUGAAAUAAAGACUUAGGUUAGGUAUGGUACUAAGUGGUGCAGAGGAAGGACCCUUCACUUUCACUCCUGACUACAGCUCAGUUGUGUCUCUCUCUGCUGUCUUCAUUGAUACAACAAUUUCAACUGAUUUUUAAAAUUUAAGUUCUGCUUCAGUUAGGCACAGUCUUGAAUGAUUUUUUUUUGUAAAAUUCAACAAACUGAACGAUCUCUCAGUGUACCAUUAAGCUCAGACAAUCUCUUCAAUUUAGCCAAGUAUACCGAAAUGGACUCCCCUUCCUUUUGAUUCAACUUAUGAAACCUAAAGCGUUCUGCAGUCAACAAUGGUUUCGGUUGUAAACACUCCUGCAUUACUUUCACGAUAUCAGCAAUGCUCAUCUUGGCUGGUUUGAUUGGAGCAGCUACAUUUCUAAGCAAACUGUAUGCUUUCCCACUUAAUACAAUCAGCAAAACCAUCAUUCACUUAUCACUGGGAAUUUUCUUCAAAAUACUACUCAAUAAGCUCAGUAUACAAUUGAGUAAUUGAAUAAGUUUAUCGUUCCAAUGUAGCCAGCCAUUUCCGCUAUUAUUUAAAUUUGUGAUUAUUAUCACUUGGUACUCACUUUUUAUGAACCCAUGAAUUUGUCCAUUUCCUGCCUUUUUUAAACUUUAAUGUCUUCCUGUUUUCCCAAAGCAUGUGCUGCACUGGUUUUCUCACUUGACCAUUUCUUGCUGCACCUUUUUUUAACUUGAACAUCUCAUUGCAUUUCAACAGAUAGGUGGCCGUCUCAAGUUUUCUUUAAACUUCCUUGUCACCACUGUUACGUUUUGUAACUCCAAAACAUUUAAAGUCUAACUUUGCUUUUACUUUAAGCGAGGUGCACAUGCAUGAUAUAGUGGCGUGACGAUGUAAGCCAAGUGCAGUCAGCCCGCUGUAUCCGCAUCCACGGAUUCAACCAACCUUGGAUCAAAAAUAUUCGGAAAAAAAAUUCCAGGAAGUUCCAAAAAGCAAAACUUGAAUUUGCUGCGCGCCAAGCACUACGCUGAAUCCAUGCAAAUGAAGUGAUGUCUGGGCAUACCCUGCUGUAGCCUCCCGCCAUUUCAGAGAUCCUCAGUCUCUCUCCAGCACUCGUUGUUUGAGCAUUGUUCGCCUUGAGUCUUGUUCAUUCGCUACUUGUGUUGUGAAUGAGAGGAAGGAGUUUAAGGCUAGUAAGGGAUGGCUGGCUAGAUAGGUGAAGUGCUACAGCCUCAAGAUAAUGGGAGAAUCGGCAUCGGCCGAUGUAGCAUCAGCAUUACCAGAAGAGCUACGAUGAUUGCAUCUGUACUGAACAGGUACAGACUUUUUUUUCUUGUCAUUAUUCCCUAAACAAUAUGGUAUAACUUUGCUUUUACUUUAAGCCAUUUAUGUCCAUACAAGGUCUCUACUGCCAUGAUGAGGCCAAACUCAGGUUGGAGGAGCAACACCUCAUAUACCAUCUGGGUAGUCUCCAGCCCCUUGGUAUGAACAUCGAAUUCUCCAACUUCCGGGCCCUUGCCCCCUCCUUCUUCAGUCCUGAUGAAGGGUCUCGGCUCGAAACGUUGACUGCUCCUUUCAACGGAUGCUGCCCGACCUGCUGAGUUCAUCCAGCUUGUUUAUACGGAGCUAUACGACCUUUCACCUCCAACUUCUCCACAUUUCACUCUGUGUUGCUUGCGAAGGAUGGGAGAUGCUGUUUUAAACAGCUUUAUGUGGAAGGUAGAGGAACAAAGUAAAUUCCAGCUACUGUUUCAAAACCACUCAGUCAUCCCCACAUCAGCUCGAAUGUCAGGGUGAGACCUCUGCAGAACUCCUCUAGAUUCUUGGAACUGUUGUGACUGACAAGCACAAGACUGCCAGAAAUCUGAUGUUGACGCAUCAGUGUAGUAGUUAUAAAUGCAAACUGUGCUUACAUUGUGUCUAUUGAGAAACCGCUCUCACAAUAGAGCAGGUGGACCUGAGUAAAAUCCACUCCCCUCAAACUUCCAAUGUCUGGAAUGGUUGCUGGUCAAAGCUCCACAGAGAAGAAGUCAUCACCCUGACACAGUGGUGUCAAGAAAACAACCUCUCCCUCAAUAUCGCAAAAACAAAGGAAAUGGUUGUGGAUUACAGGAGGAAUGGAGAAAGGCUAGCCCCUGUUGACAUCAAUGGAUCUGGGGUUGACAGAUUAUGUAUGGCAUUGAACUGCUGCUGCUAAGUUAACAAAUUUCACGUCCCAUGCUGAUGAUAAUAAACCCGAUUCUGAUUCUGAACUUUCCACUAUUCGGGACAUCUACAAAGAAAGGUGUGUAAAAAGGGCCCGAAGGAUCAUUGGAGACCUGUGACACCCCAACCACAAACUGUUCCAGCUGCUACCAUCUGGGAAACGGUACCACCGCAUAAAAGCCAAGACCAACAGGGUCCAGGACAGCUCCUUCCACCAGGCCAUCAGACUGCUUAAUUCAUGCUGACACAACUGUAUUUCCAUGUGUGGUGAACUACAUAUACUUGUCUGGACAAGCACCCCCCACCCCCGCCGCUGACUGCUCCUGUGGCUCCUCCCACAGACCCCGGUAUAAAGGCGAUUGGAGGCAUUGCUCCUGCCUCAGUCUCCAGGAUGCUGUGUGGUGAUCGCUUGCUGCUGACGUGCUUUCUUCCAGCUAAUAAAAGCCUACCUUAACUCACAUCUCCGAGAGUUAUUGAUGGUGCAUCAUUAUGUUACAUUGACUAUCCUGUUUGUACAUACUAUUUAUUACAAAUGACUAUAGAUUGCACAUUGCACAUUUAGAUGGGGACGUACUGUGAAGAUUUUUACUCCUUAUGUAUAUGAAGGAUGUAAGUACAGUUUCCCCCUCCUAUUCGAGCAAUCCUAUGAAAUGGUUCGUAAGCCGGAAUGUUGUAAAGUGAAGAAGUAAUUACCAUUUAUUUAUAUGGGAAAAAUCCGUGAGC